UACGUAGGGACCAAGCGUUGUUCGGAAUUACUGGGCGUAAAGGGCGCGUAGGCGGCUUGGCAAGUUGGGCGUGAAAGCCCUGGGCUUAACCCAGGAAUUGCGCUUGAGACUGCCAGGCUUGAGUGCGGGAGAGGUGAGUGGAAUUCCCAGUGUAGAGGUGAAAUUCGUAGAUAUUGGGAAGAACACCAGUGGCGAAGGCGGCUCACUGGCCCGCAACUGACGCUGAGGCGCGAAAGCGUGGGGAGCAAACAGG
rnacentral:rRNA from 1 species